AAUGGCCGACCCUUCCAAGGCUUUUUCGGCUUCCGACCUUGUGUGGCAUCUUUCUGAACUCCCUCGACAUCCGAGCUUCCAUAUUACCAUCCGGACUUCUCCGAUAAUGAGCUCCUCCAUUCACAUACUAGGCUGCUCCAAAUGCUCUUUGGGCUCAAUAUCAGCCAAUUUUUUGCAUUGAUCGAUUAUUCUCCAAAUCUCUUCCAGACUUCUUCCAGCCACGAUCGACUCUAGUCCAAAUUUCCUCUGGACUUCGUCAAUGGCCGAGCUUCCCCAACAGCAGGACUUCUACAGUAACCAGACUCCAUCC
rnacentral:lncRNA from 1 species